UACGUAGGGUCCGAGCGUUGUCCGGAAUUAUUGGGCGUAAAGGGCUCGUAGGCGGUUCGUCACGUCGGGGGUGAAAACUCGGAGCUUAACUCCGAGCCUGCUUCCGAUACGGGCAGACUAGAGGUAGGCAGGGGAGAGCGGAACCCCUGGUGUAGCGGUGGAAUGCGUAGAGAUCGGCAGGAACACCCAGGGGGAAGCCAGUCGACUGGGCAUCUACUGACGCUGAGGUGCGAGAGCGUGGGGAGCAAACCGG
rnacentral:rRNA from 1 species